CUUUGGGGUGGGGUGACUGCGUACCUUUUGUAUAAUGGGUCAGCGACUUAUAUUCUGUAGCAAGGUUAACCGUAUAGGGGAGCCGAAGGGAAACCGAGUCUUAACUGGGCGUUAAGUUGCAGGGUAUAGACCCGAAACCCGGUGAUCUAGCCAUGGGCAGGUUGAAGGUUGGGUAACACUAACUGGAGGACCGAACCGACUAAUGUUGAAAAAUUAGCGGAUGACUUGUGGCUGGGGGUGAAAGGCCAAUCAAACCGGGAGAUAGCUGGUUCUCCCCGAAAGCUAUUUAGGUAGCGCCUCGUGAACUCAUCUUCGGGGGUAGAGCACUGUUUCGGCUAGGGGGUCAUCCCGACUUACCAACCCGAUGCAAACUGCGAAUACCGAAGAAUGUUAUCACGGGAGACACACGGCGGGUGCUAACGUCCGUCGUGAAGAGGGAAACAACCCAGACCGCCAGCUAAGGUCCCAAAGUCACAGUUAAGUGGGAAACGAUGUGGGAAGGCUCAGACAGCCAGGAUGUUGGCUUAGAAGCAGCCAUCAUUUAAAGAAAGCGUAAUAGCUCACUGGUCGAGUCGGCCUGCGCGGAAGAUGUAACGGGGCUAAACUGUGCACCGAAGCUGCGGCAGCGACGCUUAUGCGUUGUUGGGUAGGGGAGCGUUCUGUAAGCCUGCGAAGGUGUCCUGUGAGGGAUGCUGGAGGUAUCAGAAGUGCGAAUGCUGACAUAAGUAACGAUAA
rnacentral:rRNA from 1 species